rnacentral:rRNA from 1 species
AUUGAACGCUGGCGGCAGGCCUAACACAUGCAAGUCGAACGAGUGGCGGACGGGUGAGUAAUGUCUGGGAAACUGCCCGAUGGAGGGGGAUAACUACUGGAAACGGUAGCUAAUACCGCAUACCAUCGGAUGUGCCCCGAUGGGAUUAGCUUUUAGGUGAGGUAACGGCUCACCUAGGCGACGGUCCCUAGCUGGUCUGAUAGGAUGACCAGCCACACUGGAACUGAGACACGGGCCAGACUCUUACGAGAGGCAGAAGUGGUGAAUAUUGCACAAUGGGCGAAAGCCUGAUGCAGCCAUGCCGAGUGUAUGAAGAAGGCCUUCGGGUUGUAAAGUACUUUCGUCGGGGAGGCGUGACCCGCAGAAGAAGCACCGGCUAACUCCGUGCCAGCAGCCGCGGUAAUAC